rnacentral:piRNA from 1 species
UUUCGCAUUUCUUGAGGCAAACGUGUC